AUUGAACGCUGGCGGCAGGCCUAACACAUGCAAGUCGAACGAGUGGCGGACGGGUGAGUAAUGUCUGGGACCCUGCCUGAUGGAGGGGGAUAACUACUGGAACCGGUAGCUAAUACCGCAUAGCAUCAGCUGUGCCCAGAUGGGAUUAGCUAGUUGGUGGGGUACCGGCGCACCAGGGCGACGAUCCCUAGCUGGUCUGAGAGGAUGACCAGCCACACGGGAACGGAGACACGCUCCAUACUCCGACGGGAGGCAGCAGUGGGUAAUAUUGCACAAUGGGCGCAAGCCUGAGACAGCCAUGCCGCGUGUAUGAAGAAGGCCUUCGGGUUGUAAAGUACUUGCAGCGGGGAGGCGUUACCCGCAGAAGAAGCACCGGCUAACUCCGUGCCAGCCGCCGCGGUAAUUC
rnacentral:rRNA from 1 species